GAUGAACGCUGGCGGCGUGCUUAACACAUGCAAGUCGAACGGAAAGGCCAGUGCUUGCACUGGUACUCGAGUGGCGAACGGGUGAGUAACACGUGGGUGAUCUGCCCUGCACUUCGGGAUAAGCCUGGGAAACUGGGUCUAAUACCGGAUAGGACAAUGGUUCGGAUGCCGUUGUGGAAAGUUUUUUCGGUGUGGGAUGAGCUCGCGGCCUAUCAGCUUGUUGGUGGGGUAAUGGCCUACCAAGGCGUCGACGGGUAGCCGGCCUGAGAGGGUGUACGGCCACAUUGGGACUGAGAUACGGCCCAGACUCCUACGGGAGGCAGCAGUGGGGAAUAUUGCACAAUGGGCGCAAGCCUGAUGCAGCGACGCCGCGUGGGGGAUGACGGCCUUCGGGUUGUAAACUCCUUUCGCUAGGGACGAAGCGUAUUUGUGACGGUACCUGGAGAAGAAGCACCGGCUAACUACGUG
rnacentral:rRNA from 1 species